rnacentral:lncRNA from 1 species
CCUGCACCAAAUUCUUUUGGGCUCCAAAGAGGAAGAGGUCUGAGACUCUCUCAGUCUAGAGAGAACCGCUUCAUUCACUCCAGACUCAGAAAAGACCCCAGAAAAAUGCAGUGAUGAAUAAAAGUUGCAAACCAUUACACUGAUGCCCAACCCCAGGACACUAAACUGGGAGCAUUAUACCUGACGCCUCUGUGGGGAGGCUCAACCCUUCAUUCUCCUCCUUAUGCCACAGGUCCUGGCUUCUUAAGGACCGAAAUUUCCCUGCUUAGCACAGGAAGAAAGAAUAUAUAUACUGACAACUGGGUCCCUUUGCGAUACAGGAAACUGGCGCAACACUGUAAAUCAACUAUACUUUAAUUUUAAAAAAGCUUUUAAAAUCAACCCACCCCCACAUCUUAGAUUUUCUAUACUAGUUUAUAUCUAUGCUGAUAUCAAGUAUCCUGUCCUAGAAGCAGCUUCUGAAGGAUAUUUUGAGGCUUGUUCACCAGCACCACUCUCCCUCGGGGGCUCCUGGUGGGGUAAAGACCCCUCUAGAUGACUCCAGAUCCGAUUCCCCUCACAGAGAGUAAAACCAGGAAUGAGAGUUUUGCCAGCCCUUGGAAUUGGGAGGGGGGAGGGGAUGAGAAAGAGAAAUAACAGCCUUUCUUUAGUGUUAAGGUGCAAAACCCCCAAAUGCCUUAUGCUGUUGUUUCUGGCACUUUAAGCUAUUAUGACUCUGAAGAAAACCCCAUAACCAAAUUUCCCAAGCAUUCCGCUCUGUCUGAAAUGGAUGUAAGACCCUCAGAAGUGAGGGAGAGGGGUGAACGCCGCUGGCCUGGGCAGCCAGACGCUCGGUACCUCGCAGAAAGCAGCCUGCCUGCCAGAAAGGAACGUCAAGGACAGGUGACACGGCUGCUGCCACAGAUGCUCUGGGGGCAAAAGCAGGCUUCCUCGGGGGAGCUGGUGCCGUUUUAAAGGCAGGCAGACUGGAGCUCAUUAGGGCACAACGGUGGGUGUCUCAGAUGGCCUGCCCACGGCUGCCAUCCAGCAGGUCCGGCUUUGUGGAUGCCACGUACAGGCCCCCAGGCACCAAGGGAAACCUGGGGCGGUCGUUCUUCUCUCCUUGGAAAUGCACUCCAGCGACUGCAGUGCCAAUGGCCCGUGCUCCCAGCAAUGCCCGUCAAAGACUUCUGACCCUGGGAGCUGGUUCCCAGCCAGUCCUAACCGGCUCUGAACCAUGAGCACCAGAGGGAGGUUAAGGCGGACAGGGCCAGGACGCCUUUCUAGGAGUCAGAAGGGGUGCGAUUCCAAGCAACCCACAUCAGCUGCCAUUUUGGAAGCCUUGGCUCCUCGUGCGGAUUCAACUAGACAAAGGGGACAGCCAAGGUCAUGACUGUCACGGUCUGGGAGCCCCACGCCAAGGACAGGGAGGCCAGAGCGCCAGGCCGGGAGCAGCCGCUGCCUUGCUGUGACAUCUUGAGCAACGGGCUUCGUCUCUGCCACUGCGGAAUUUCCUCAUCUCAAGAAUACGGAAGUUGGACAGAUGGUCUCCAGGGUGGCUUUGUGUUUCGAAUAUAUGGGAUAAUACUCGAUGGUUCUGGAUGUUUGCCUGUCUGUUUUACGGAAGUGCCAUUUUUAUAGGAGGGAAAAAGUCACAUUCAAGUGUAGACUCGUGAUGCAGAGGCAUCGGACGGUCCUGGAACGCUGCCCGGGCCCCAGACACCUGGGCUUCUGCCUCAACCCCUCGGAGCUCCGUGCCUCCGCCUCUCAGCAUGGGGAGUUCUGGUGAGUGCCUCUGUCCUGAUGGCCUGUGUCUGCCCCUCCCCGGUCACCCCCAGAGCCACACAUGGUCACACUCUAUCUUGCCUAGAACCAGACAUUCACCUGGCAUCCUGAGAUUCCCUGUGUCUGAAGUUAGAAUUCGCCCUGCACCAAAGGCAGGCUCCAGCAGGAUUGUUCUGGACCUGCUGGCAGAACAAUCAGCGCCACUGCUUACUGCACACACUGCACCCCAGAUAGAGCCCGCCGCAGCUUGGGUACAUCUGGCCAAUGGCCAACAACCCCCACACCUCAAUCCUGCCAAGAGCUUCACCGGGCUGCACCCUGCUCCCCGAAUGCCCCUCAGUGUCCAUCUUUUUGCUAAUCCCGUCUUCCCACAAACCUUCCUGCCACCACCCACAGCCAGGGCCAGGCCCACUGGACCCCCAGUGCUCUGCAGCUGGCUCCUGGGCAGCUCUAACGGUCAGAACUGGAUUGGUUGGUCUGGGUUUCUUUAUAACAGUCAUUCUCCAAGUGUGGUCGUUGCACCAGCAACCCCGGUGUCCUCUGGGAGCUGGUUAGAAACACAGAGCCCCAAGGCCCCAACCCCUCCCCGCGAGCCAGGCUCUACAUUAUAACGGCCCCUGGCAAUUCAGAUGCACCUGAAGCUCUGAGCAGCCCAGCUUUCCUAGGUCCCCUGGCCCGCCAGCGCUUGCUCCAGGACGAUGAGCCCAUCUCUCCUCCCGGUAGGGUUCAGGCCUCCACCGGCAGCCAUGCCCAAACCAGAGAUGCUGCUUUUGACUCAGCCAGUGGGACAGAGGAGGGUUUGGUGAAGAGACAGAAGAGCUUCUCCGUGGACCCUGGGCCUUCCCCAGCUGUCCAGAACCUCAAGAGAGUGGUUCACAAAAAUCCUGGCUGCUCAGAGGUCCCUCUUUCCAAAGAAGCAGGGAGUCUGACUUUGAGGGGCAGAGAGGUUGGCAAAAUAAGUCUCUUCGCUCCCUAAGUCUCAGGAGAGACUCCAUCACCUUGAUGGCGGCCACUGCUGCCACCACCAAACUGGACACACGCAUCCAGCCCAGCCUGGAACCACGGGGCAGAUACUGGAUCCACUGGGCAGGUGCCUUCAGGGGAGCUGUGUCCCCCAAUGGGCUUUCACCCAACAGUGUCCCAGCUGGAACUGGGCCACGGUGCAGAAGGUGGGGUGGGCAGAAGCCAAGGUCCGGGCUGGGGAGAAAGGGAGAGGCAGGGUCUGGACCACAAUCUACACAACAGAAAACUCCGUGUCACCGCUCCGUUUCCCGGUCCCUCCACAAACGUCCCCUCUGCCACCUUAUCCCCGCCCCCUCCCUUCCUGCUUUCUCCAACACCGCUCACAUCGUCUCUUCUCCCUUUCCCCCCGGGCCCCCUGAAAGAUGCCCCCGACACACCAGGCCUCGCAGGCUCAGCUGGAGCCCCCCUCUCGGAGGGCGCUCAGAGCUGCCUCUUUACCACGGUGAAGCCACUUUAGAAGCCUGCAGGGGAGAAGCGAGCAGAACAGACCUGGGCCGGCGAGCAGGUGCUUACCCCCGGAGAAGAGCUCAUCUUCUGAGAGGGCUGUGAACUCAGAGAGCCAGGGAUUCCGCCUCAAGUCCCCGGGGUUGCUGGCCAGGCCCCUGCCAGCUUCCUCUCCAUGCCCCCUUGCGGGAAAUGAGGCCCAGGCGAGCUGCCACCCUGGGGUCAGGGCCCCAGGCACCCCGGAGGAUGUUCUGUGGCUUUUCACGUCGCUGUUC